rnacentral:rRNA from 1 species
UACGAAGGGGGCUAGCGUUGCUCGGAAUUACUGGGCGUAAAGCGCACGUAGGCGGCUUUUUAAGUCAGGGGUGAAAUCCUGGAGCUCAACUCCAGAACUGCCUUUGAUACUGAGAGGCUCGAGUCCGGGAGAGGUGAGUGGAACUGCGAGUGUAGAGGUGAAAUUCGUAGAUAUUCGCAAGAACACCAGUGGCGAAGGCGGCUCACUGGCCCGGUACUGACGCUGAGGCACGAAAGCGUGGGGAGCAAACAGG